rnacentral:rRNA from 1 species
AACGAACGCUGGCGGCAUGCCUAACACAUGCAAGUCGAACGAUGCUUUCGGGCCUAGUGGCGCACGGGUGCGUAACGCGUGGGAAUCUGCCCUUGGGUUCGGAAUAACAGCGAGAAAUUGCUGCUAAUACCGGAUGAUGUCUUCGGACCAAAGAUUUAUCGCCCUGGGAUGAGCCCGCGUAGGAUUAGCUAGUUGGUAGGGUAAUGGCCUACCAAGGCGACGAUCCUUAGCUGGUCUGAGAGGAUGAUCAGCCACACUGGGACUGAGACACGGCCCAGACUCCUACGGGAGGCAGCAGUGGGGAAUAUUGGACAAUGGGCGAAAGCCUGAUCCAGCAAUGCCGCGUGAGUGAUGAAGGCCUUAGGGUUGUAAAGCUCUUUUACCCGGGAUGAUAAUGACAGUACCGGGAGAAUAAGCUCCGGCUAACUCCGUG